CUCAAACUCGGGUAAGGAACCGACUGCUUGGAACCCUUCCCUGAUUGCCUACCUAGCAUUGCUCUCGAGUACUCGUUUCGCACUGCUGCUGUACUUCCAAAGAAGCUGCCACAUCUGCCUGGAGAACAGAUAAGGCAAGUGAAAAUGAUACCUUGCAGCAUGUGGAGACAAAGUGCAGAAGGAACAAGCAGAGAAGAAUGUGGUCUGCACAGUCAACUCAGCAGAAGGAGUUCGAACUGAGGAACUC
rnacentral:lncRNA from 1 species